GAUGAACGCUAGCUACAGGCUUAACACAUGCAAGUCGAGGGGCAGCAUGAAUAUUGGCUUGCCAAUAUUUGAUGGCGACCGGCGCACGGGUGAGUAACACGUAUCCAACCUUCCGGUUACUCGGGGAUAGGCUUUCGAAAGAAAGAUUAAUACCCGAUGUUGUGUAUCUUUCUCCUGAAAGAUACGCCAAAGGAUUCCGGUAACCGAUGGGGAUGCGUUCCAUUAGGCAGUUGGCGGGGUAACGGCCCACCAAACCUUCGAUGGAUAGGGGUUCUGAGAGGAAGGUCCCCCACAUUGGAACUGAGACACGGUCCAAACUCCUACGGGAGGCAGCAGUGAGGAAUAUUGGUCAAUGGACGGAAGUCUGAACCAGCCAAGUAGCGUGAAGGAUGACUGCCCUCUGGGUUGUAAACUUCUUUUAUACGGGAAUAACAUGAGGUACGCGUACCUUAUUGCAUGUACCGUUAUGAAUAAGCAUCGGCUAACUCCGUGCCAGCAGCCGCGGUAAUACGGAGGAUGCGAGCGUUAUCCGGAUUUAUUGGGUUUAAAGGGAGCGUAGGUGGGAUAUUAAGUCAGCUGUGAAAGUUUGGGGCUCAACCUUAAAAUUGCAGUUGAUACUGGUUUCCUUGAGUACGGUACAGGUGGGCGGAAUUCGUGGUGUAGCGGUGAAAUGCUUAGAUAUCACGAAGAACUCCGAUCGCGAAGGCAGCUCACCGGGCCGGAACUGACACUGAUGCUCGAAAGUGCGGGUAUCAAACAGGAUUAGAUACCCUGGUAGUCCGCACAGUAAACGAUGAAUACUCGCUGUUUGCGAUACACUGUAAGCGGCCAAGCGAAAGCGUUAAGUAUUCCACCUGGGGAGUACGCCGGCAACGGUGAAACUCAAAGGAAUUGACGGGGGCCCGCACAAGCGGAGGAACAUGUGGUUUAAUUCGAUGAUACGCGAGGAACCUUACCCGGGCUUAAAUUGCGCUGGCUUUUACCGGAAACGGUAUUUUCUUCGGACCAGCGUGAAGGUGCUGCAUGGUUGUCGUCAGCUCGUGCCGUGAGGUGUCGGCUUAAGUGCCAUAACGAGCGCAACCCUUAUCUUUAGUUACUAACAGUUUUGCUGAGGACUCUAAAGAGACUGCCGUCGUAAGAUGCGAGGAAGGUGGGGAUGACGUCAAAUCAGCACGGCCCUUACGUCCGGGGCUACACGCGUGUUACAAUGGGAAGCACAGCAGGUUGCUACACGGCGACGUGAUGCCAAUCCGUAAAACUCCUCUCAGUUCGGAUCGAAGUCUGCAACCCGACUUCGUGAAGCUGGAUUCGCUAGUAAUCGCGCAUCAGCCACGGCGCGGUGAAUACGUUCCCGGGCCU
rnacentral:rRNA from 1 species